rnacentral:rRNA from 1 species
GAUGAACGCUGGCGGCGUGCCUAAUACAUGCAAGUCGAGCGAACAGGCGAGGAGCUUGCUCCUCUGACGUUAGCGGCGGACGGGUGAGUAACACGUGGAUAACCUACCUAUAAGACUGGGAUAACUUCGGGAAACCGGAGCUAAUACCGGAUAAUAUAUUGAACCGCAUGGUUCAAUAGUGAAAGACGGUUUUGCUGUCACUUAUAGAUGGAUCCGCGCCGCAGUAGCUAGUUGGUAAGGUAACGGCUUACCAAGGCAACGAUGCGUAGCCGACCUGAGAGGGUGAUCGGCCACACUGGAACUGAGACACGGUCCAGACUCCUACGGGAGGCAGCAGUAGGGAAUCUUCCGCAAUGGGCGAAAGCCUGACGGAGCAACGCCGCGUGAGUGAUGAAGGUCUUCGGAUCGUAAAACUCUGUUAUUAGGGAAGAACAAAUGUGUAAGUAACUAUGCACGUCUUGACGGUACCUAAUCAGAAAGCCACGGCUAACUACGUG